rnacentral:rRNA from 1 species
UAGAGUUUGAUCCUGGCUCAGAAUCAACGCUGGCGGCGUGCCUAACACAUGCAAGUCGUACGAGAAAGUGGAGCAAUCCAUGAGUAAAGUGGCGACCGGGUGAGUAACACGUGACUACCUACCUUCUAGUGGGGGAUAACUCCGGGAAACCGGAGCUAAUACCGCAUAACAUCGCAAGAUCAAAGCAGCAAUGCGCUGGAAGAGGGGGUCGCGGCUGAUUAGCUAGUUGGUAGGGUAAUGGCCUACCAAGGCAUCGAUCAGUAUCCGGCCUGAGAGGGCGGACGGACACACUGGAACUGAGACACGGUCCAGACUCCUACGGGAGGCAGCAGUGGGGAAUCUUGCGCAAUGGGCGAAAGCCUGACGCAGCGACGCCGCGUGAGUGAUGAAGGCCUUCGGGUUGUAAAGCUCUGUGGGGAGAGACGAAUAAGUGUCGGCUAAUACCCGGCAUGAUGACGGUAUCUCCUUAGCAAGCACCGGCUAACUCUGUGCCAGCAGCCGCGGUAGCCCAAUCGCC